GAACCGUCCAAACGUUAUUCGGAAUUACUGGGCUUAAAGGGUGCGUAGGCGGCAUGGGUAAGUUGGGGUGUGAAAUCCCUCGGGCUCAACCGAGGAACUGCGCCCAAAACUACCAUACUUGAGGGAGACAGAGGUAAGCGGAACUGAUGGUGGAGCGGUGAAAUGCGUUGAUAUCAUCAGGAACACCAGUGGCGAAAGCGGCUUACUGGGUCUCUUCUGACGCUGAGGCACGAAAGCCAGGGGAGCGAACGGGAUUAGAUACCCCGGUAGUCCUGGCUGUAAACGAUGAGCACUUGGUCGAAGACUCCUCCAUAGGUUUUCGGCCGUAGCGAAAGUGUUAAGUGCUCCGCCUGGGGAGUAUGGUCGCAAAGGCUG
rnacentral:rRNA from 1 species